AAAACACAGUUGCAGCAGUGGUUUGGAGGCACAGGAAGACUCAAACUACCAGUAAUAGAAGGCGCAGUGGCCGUCCUCGGAAAAUGCACAAUUCGCUAUUUACGCAACCUUCCAUUGAAAGACAGAAGUGCUUCUGACUCGGCACAAGGAUCAUCUGUGGAAACUGGUGUUUCAGUCAGCAGUGAGAGGUGGAGGCAGAUUUCACUAGACUACUGGGUUCAGUAUUUUUCACCAGGAAACAGAAAAGUUCUUACAUGACGAUGAGUUUGGCGUUGCUGGAAUGUUCCUUCAGCAGCUCGUUCAGCCGGAUCUGACGAGUUGAUAUGGCAGCAGUAUCUGGGCGGUACCUUGGCCUUGUAGAGCUCCAGUUCGUUGUCAGUGAUCCUCCAGGGCUCCUGAGCCUU